UACGUAGGGGGCAAGCGUUGUCCGGAUUUAUUGGGCGUAAAGAGCGUGUAGGCGGUUUGGUAAGUCCGCUGUGAAAACUCGAGGCUCAACCUCGAGACGCCGGUGGAAACCAUCAGACUAGAGUCCGGAAGAGGAGAGUGGAAUUCCUGGUGUAGCGGUGAAAUGCGCGGAUAUCAGGAAGAACACCCGUGGCUAAGGCGGCUCUCUAGUACGGUACUGACGCUGAGACGCGAAAGCGUGGGGAGCGAACAGG
rnacentral:rRNA from 1 species